UAAAAAUUAUUUAAAAAAUGCAAUCUAUUGAAGAAAAAAAUCUGAAAGAAUAGUUAUAUAUCAAGAAAAAUUCUUGUUAUCCUAAUUUCUAAGUGACAAUCUCAAAUCUACAAUAUCUCUCUAUUUAAAUGAAAAAAUUCCAAAAAUAUUAGGUUUAUUAAAAAUUAUUUUAAAAAUGCAAACGGUUGAUUCAAAAUUCUAAACAAAUACUCAUCUAUAAACAAAAAAUCUUGUUAUCCUUAUUUCUAAGUCACAAUCUCAAUUCUACAAUAGUUCUCUAUAAUAAAUGAAAACUUUCCAAAAAUAGCAGGCUCUUAUAAAAUUAUUUUAAAAAUGCAACCUAUUGAUGAAAUUUUCUAAGAGAAUAAUCAUUUAUCAACAAAAAUUCUAUUUAUCCAAAUUUAUAAGUCACAAUCCCAAAUCUACAAUAGUUCUCUAUUGAAAUAAAAACUUUCAAAAAGUGGCAGCUCUCUGAAAAAAUACUCAUCUAUCAACGAAAAUUUUUGUUAUCCUAAUUUCAAAGUCACAACCCCAAAUCUACAACAGUACUCUAUAGAAAUGAAAAUUUCCAAAAAUAGUAGUUUUUGUAAAAAUUAUUGAAAAAUGUAACCUAUUGAUGAAAAUUCAAGAGAGAAUACUCAUUUAUCUAAACAAAUUCUUGUUAUCCUUAUUUCUAAGUCACAAUCUCAAAUCUACAACAGUUCUCUAUAAAAAU
rnacentral:lncRNA from 1 species